GACGAACGCUGGCGGCGUGCCUAAUACAUGCAAGUCGAGCGGACUUUCAAGAAGCUUGCUUUUUGAAAGUUAGCGGCGGACGGGUGAGUAACACGUGGGCAACCUGCCUGUAAGACGGGGAUAACUCCGGGAAGCCGGGGCUAAUACCGGAUAAUAUCUUUCUUCGCAUGAAGGAAGGUUGAAAGGCGGCGCAAGCUGCCGCUUGCAGAUGGGCCCGCGGCGCAUUAGCUAGUUGGUUAGGUAACGGCUAACCAAGGCGACGAUGCGUAGCCGACCUGAGAGGGUGAUCGGCCACACUGGGACUGAGACACGGCCCAGACUCCUACGGGAGGCAGCAGUAGGGAAUCUUCCGCAAUGGACGAAAGUCUGACGGAGCAACGCCGCGUGAGCGAAGAAGGUCUUCGGAUCGUAAAGCUCUGUUGUCAGGGAAGAACAAGUACCGUUCGAAUAGGGCGGUACCUUGACGGUACCUGACCAGAAAGCCACGGCUAACUACGUGCCAGCAGCCGCAGUAA
rnacentral:rRNA from 1 species